rnacentral:lncRNA from 1 species
AUGCUGAACUUAGGUAUUGCAGAUGAGAUCCAUCUACACAUACAUGUGCACACAGAUAGUCUUGGAACCAGAAGUGGUCAAGAUAUGCAACCUGAAUUCUUACUACUAGAUGACCUGCAUUACAAAAGCCUGCUUUCCCAGAUCCUACUGCUGUGCAAGUCAUCUCAAAGAAGGAAGAAGAGAAAAAAGGAAGAUGGGAAAAAUAAUUUCAAAGUGUAUAGAGAUAAGAGGAGAAUAUUCAGAAGAGAUUUUAAUUCAAUAUUUGUUGAAGUUCUGAAAUGGCUGAAUAGUUCAUUUUAUUCCAUGUUUUCUUGCUUCCAUUUAGCAGGAAUGUACUGGAAAGGAUUGGAAAUGGCUGUUCUUUCAGUUUUUUAUGGUUUAGACUAA